rnacentral:rRNA from 1 species
UACGGGGGGAGCAAGCGUUGUUCGGAUUUACUGGGCGUAAAGGGCGCGUAGGCGGUCAUGACAAGUCACUUGUGAAAUCUCCGGGCUUAACUCGGAACGGUCAAGUGAUACUGUCAGACUAGAGUGCAGAAGGGGCAACUGGAAUUCUCGGUGUAGCGGUGAAAUGCGUAGAUAUCAAGAGGAACACCUGAGGCGAAGGCGGGUUGCUAGGCUGACACUGACGCUGAUGCGCGAAAGCCAGGGGAGCAAACGGG